ensembl:miRNA
UGGAGAGCUUGGUCUGUAGCGGUUUCCUUCGGGGCAGGUGGGGACUGCUCCUUUGAGAGGAAGGAGGAGGCCCAGGCCGCGUCUUCAGG